rnacentral:rRNA from 1 species
ACGGGGGGUGCAAGCGUUGUUCGGAAUUAUUGGGCGUAAAGCGCGUGUAGGCGGUUUGUUAAGUCUGAUGUGAAAGCCCUGGGCUCAACCCAGGAAGUGCAUUUGAUACUGGCAUGCUUGAAUAAGGGAGAGGGUAGUGGAAUUCCUGGUGUAGGAGUGAAAUCCGUAGAUAUCAGGAGGAACACCGGUGGCGAAGGCGGCUGCCUGGACCGAUAUUGACGCUGAGACGCGAAAGCGUGGGUAGCAAACAG